GAUGAACGCUGGCGGCGUGCCUAAUACAUGCAAGUCGAGCGAACGGACGAGAAGCUUGCUUCUCUGAUGUUAGCGGCGGACGGGUGAGUAACACGUGGAUAACCUACCUAUAAGACUGGGAUAACUUCGGGAAACCGGAGCUAAUACCGGAUAAUAUUUUGAACCGCAUGGUUCAAAAGUGAAAGACGGUCUUGCUGUCACUUAUAGAUGGAUCCGCGCUGCAUUAGCUAGUUGGUAAGGUAACGACUUACCAAGGCAACGAUGCAUAGCCGACCUGAGAGGGUGAUCGGCCACACUGGAAUUGAGACACGGUCCAGACUCCUACGGGAGGCAGCAGUAGGGAAUCUUCCGCAAUGGGCGAAAGCCUGACGGAGCAACGCCGCGUGAGUGAUGAAGGUCUUCGGAUCGUAAAACUCUGUUAUUAGGGAAGAACAUAUGUGUAAGUAACUGUGCACAUCUUGACGGUACCUAAUCAGAAAGCCACGGCUAACUACGUG
rnacentral:rRNA from 1 species